GAAUGCGUCUGUGUGUGUCUGUAUGUGUGCCUGCGUGUAUGUGUGUGUCAGACAUACCGACACACAUAUAAAUACAUACAUUGACAGACACACACACGCAGGCACAUAUACUGACAGACAUACU